UACGAAGGUCCCGAGCGUUGUUCGGAAUCACUGGGCGUAAAGGGAGCGUAGGCGGCGUGGUAAGUCAGAUGUGAAAUCCCGGGGCUCAACCCCGGAACUGCAUCCGAUACUGCCGUGCUAGAGUUUUGGAGAGGUAGCUGGAAUUCACGGUGUAGCAGUGAAAUGCGUGGAUAUCGUGAGGAACACUCGUGGCGAAAGCGAGCUACUGGACAACAACUGACGCUGAGGCUCGAAGGCCAGGGGAGCGAAAGGG
rnacentral:rRNA from 1 species